CUACUAGAAGCCAACUCUGACUGACUACACAGUAAAGGGGUGACUCUACAGGGAAUUGAGGGAAGAUUGGGAAAGUAGUGCCAGGCGAAGCUUCCAAGACCAAAGCUCAGAACCAUGCUGUAAAACUGGCCUGGUGCAGAAACUGCUACAAUCGGGAUUGUGGUUGUCACACACACUACCCUGCAGGAAGCUGCUGCCACCAUAGCCAGGAACCACUGUAGAAUGGCUGCCAUUCCUGUCAUCGAGUAUCACAUUCUUGUGUACCUCCUGCACCAACAAAAUGCCAAACUUCCAAAAGAGCCUGUUGCUUCAUCUUGCUUCCAAAUCACAGGCUCACUGGAGUGCAUCUAAUAGAAUCUAGGUCCCACACCUGAGCUUGAACUCCAAAGGAGACUGGUAGCUGGGGAGUGAACUCCUCCCUUGGGGAAGCAGGACUCAUAGUAUUGAAAUCCACAUCCUCCCCCCACAAAUAUGGGGCAGGCUGUUCCGAAGGUGUUAGGAAGCAAUGUAUCUGACAGGUGUAUAAUGCCAAGGGCACGCUCAGAUCUGAAAUGUGAAUCUGUCAUCUAUCGCUGAAGGGCGGAGGGGUAGAGAUUGCAUCAGUUUCUUCACUUCACCACCAGUGACAUUUUGGGUCACAGAGGCCUGACUGUGGAGACAGUUCUAUGCAUUGUAAGAUGUUUAGCAGUAUUCCUGAACUCUAUCCACAAAAUAUCAGUACCACCCUCUACCUCCCAAGUUGUAAGAACCAAAGGUGCUUCAUAAAUGGAUAAAUAUCCCUCUGGAGACAAAAAUCACCUUGAAAACCACCGAAUUUGAGACCAGCUCAGGAAGGUCUUUUGGUAACAGAGAAGAAAUGAAUUUGUGGAAUGUCAGUGGAUGGACAGGGAAAAUGUCACAAAAAAAACAAUGCAAGACUACUGUGAUGAUACUCUUUGGAGACCAUUUUCGGAGCCCAUCUACUAUAGUCUACUUCUGAGUACUACGUACGCCUAACAUUUUAACAGCUGACUUCAAGUCUCAAGGUAAAGAACACACUUCAGCUUGGAAGGCAGAAGGAGUCAAAGAUCUCCCCAGCUUGGACACGUCCUCCACUGGAGGUAAGAACCGUGGACAGGCUUCAGGACUAUGCCAGGGCACGAUCUCCACACAGAGAUCCCUCACUGGAGACACGCAGGAUCUGGUAGGCUGCCUUGAACUGUCAGCUGUCACAUAUCCUCAGUUGUUACUAUGGUCUGCCUAGGUUUUACUAUGCUUUGCUUGUUUGAUUUAUGUCACUCUUGCCCACCUAGAAGCUUCUUAGGCAAGAGGCUUAGUGAUGACCGGCACCGCAGCUCAGUAGGCUAAUCCUCUGCCUGCGGC
rnacentral:lncRNA from 1 species